CUGCGUACGGCUCAUUACACCAGCCUUAAUUUACUUGACCUUGACAACCUACUUGGAUAACUGUGGUAAUUCUAGAGCUAAUACAUGCACCAAAGCUCCGAUCCUCGCGGAGAGGAGCGCAUUUGUUCGCCACAAAACCAAGCGCCCAUCUGGGCGUCCAGUGCUGAACCAGAACAACUCAGCUGAUCGCACGGUCUUGUACCGGCGACGUGUCUUUCAAGUGUCUGCCUUAUCAACUUUCGAUGGUAGUGUACCUGACUACCAUGGUUGUGACGGGUAACGGAGGAUAAGGGUUCGACUCCGGAGAAGGGGCCUGAGAAAUGGCCACUACGUCUAAGGAUGGCAGCAGGCGCGCAAAUUACCCACUCUCAACGCGAGGAGGUAGUGACGAGAAAUAACGAGACCGUUCUCAUACGAGGCCGGUUAUUGGAAUGGGUACAAUUUAAA
rnacentral:rRNA from 1 species